AUGUUACUGCUGCAGGUUCUUAUUGUGACUUCAACAUGGUCUUAUGGAUAUACGCAAAUAACUCUGAUCCAAACUCCAUUGUCUGUCACCAGAGCGGUAACUAAAACUGCACGUAUGGGGUGUAUAAUUUCUGGCGAAGGUUUUAAUUUUAACAGUGCUUAUAUACACUGGUAUCGACAGAGCCCUGGGGAAGCUCCAAAGAGGAUUCUGUAUAUUGGAUCAGGAUCAGUUUCUAUGGAUGAAGGCUUCAAUAGCAAAAAGUUUACAGCUAGUAAUGAUGUUUCUGCAUUCACCGCUAAUCUCAGAGUAGACCAACUAACCCUAGAGGAUGCUGCUACCUAUUAUUGUGCCACCUGGGAUACCACAGUAGUAGUCUUUGGCACAGGAACUAAGCUAGUUGUUUCUGACUCCAGUUCAGUAAGGCACUUAAGCAUGUUUCUAUUCCUAAUCAGCAAAGAAUUUGAGCGUGUGUUUAACUUUAAGGCCAAAAUGCAGUAA